rnacentral:rRNA from 1 species
AGAGUUUGAUCAUGGCUCAGGAUGAACGCCGGCGGUGUGCCUAAUACAUGCAAGUCGUACGCACUGGCCCAACUGAUUGAUGGUGCUUGCACCUGAUUGACGAUGGAUCACCAGUGAGUGGCGGACGGGUGAGUAACACGUAGGUAACCUGCCCCGGAGCGGGGGAUAACAUUUGGAAACAGAUGCUAAUACCGCAUAACAACAAAAGCCACAUGGCUUUUGUUUGAAAGAUGGCUUUGGCUAUCACUCUGGGAUGGACCUGCGGUGCAUUAGCUAGUUGGUAAGGUAACGGCUUACCAAGGCGAUGAUGCAUAGCCGAGUUGAGAGACUGAUCGGCCACAAUGGAACUGAGACACGGUCCAUACUCCUACGGGAGGCAGCAGUAGGGAAUCUUCCACAAUGGGCGCAAGCCUGAUGGAGCAACACCGCGUGAGUGAAGAAGGGUUUCGGCUCGUAAAGCUCUGUUGUUGGAGAAGAACGUGCGUGAGAGUAACUGUUCACGCAGUGACGGUAUCCAACCAGAAAGUCACGGCUAACUACGUGCCAGCAGCCGCGGUAAUACGUAGGUGGCAAGCGUUAUCCGGAUUUAUUGGGCGUAAAGCGAGCGCAGGCGGUUGCUUAGGUCUGAUGUGAAAGCCUUCGGCUUAACCGAAGAAGUGCAUCGGAAACCGGGCGACUUGAGUGCAGAAGAGGACAGUGGAACUCCAUGUGUAGCGGUGGAAUGCGUAGAUAUAUGGAAGAACACCAGUGGCGAAGGCGGCUGUCUGGUCUGCAACUGACGCUGAGGCUCGAAAGCAUGGGUAGCGAACAGGAUUAGAUACCCUGGUAGUCCAUGCCGUAAACGAUGAGUGCUAGGUGUUGGAGGGUUUCCGCCCUUCAGUGCCGGAGCU